AUUCCAAAGCGUUUGGGUGUGUUUUUCCUGCUACGCGUUGUCGCCGUGCUGUCAUCGGUACGACCACUGCAAAGAUUGAAAGUGUAUUGAGUAGAGAAAAGGAACAAAAAAACAAAAACGCUGUGUGAAUGUAAAACGGCGCUGGUCACUCAAAAAUUGGCAAAUUUUCAAGAAAAUACCACAACAAAAACAAAUCAAGGUGCAGCACAUUCGAAAGGGUUGUGUAAUAGUGACAACAAACGGCUGCYGAACAGACGCAAACUGGUUAGCUGGCUGGCUUUUAAUUAGUGAAACGGCUAAAAAUGAAAUAAGAAGAAAAUUCCGGACUACGAACAAGUGGAGAGCAAAUUGUGUUUAACAAGGCAA